rnacentral:rRNA from 1 species
CAGUAGCCGCGGUAAUACGUAGGUGGCAAGCGUUAUCCGGAAUUAUUGGGCGUAAAGCGCGCGUAGGUGGUUUUUUAAGUCUGAUGUGAAAGCCCACGGCUCAACCGUGGAGGGUCAUUGGAAACUGGAAAACUUGAGUGCAGAAGAGGAAAGUGGAAUUCCAUGUGUAGCGGUGAAAUGCGCAGAGAUAUGGAGGAACACCAGUGGCGAAGGCGACUUUCUGGUCUGUAACUGACGCUGAUGUGCGAAAGCGUGGGGAUCAAACAGGAUUAGAUACCCCCGUAGUCCCUGUCUCUUAUAC